rnacentral:rRNA from 1 species
CUACGGGGCGCUGCAGUGGGGAAUAUUGCACAAUGGGCGCAAGCCUGAUGCAGCCAUGCCGCGUGUAUGAAGAAGGCCUUCGGGUUGUAAAGUACUUUCAGCGGGGAGGAAGGGAGUAAAGUUAAUACCUUUGCUCAUUGACGUUACCCGCAGAAGAAGCACCGGCAAACUCCGUGCCAGCAGCCGCGGUAAUACGGAGGGUGCAAGCGUUAAUCGGAAUUACUGGGCGUAAAGCGCACGCAGGCGGUUUGUUAAGUCAGAUGUGAAAUCCCCGGGCUCAACCUGGGAACUGCAUCUGAUACUGGCAAGCUUGAGUCUCGUAGAGGGGGGUAGAAUUCCAGGUGUAGCGGUGAAAUGCGUAGAGAUCUGGAGGAAUACCGGUGGCGAAGGCGGCCCCCUGGACGAAGACUGACGCUCAGGUGCGAAAGCGUGGGGAGCAAACAGGAUUAGAUACCCGUGUAGUC